rnacentral:sRNA from 1 species
ACACUGGCUGUUGUCAUCCGCCCCUGAGGUUUCAGGCUGUCGGCAGUGAAGGUCAGAGUGCAGACCUGAGACCACUGCUCACCGACUUCAGACUCCAGUUUAUCUGUGCCUUGGCUUCCCCACUUAGUCGCAGAAGACUUAGGCUGAGGCCCCAGGAAGAGAUCUCCAUCCUUUGCAGGAGCACAACAAGAUGGCCAUGUCCCAGAAAUCAUUGACCUUCAAGGACGUGUUUGUGGACUUCACCCUGGAGGAGUGGCAGCAACUGGACUCUGCCCAGAAGAACCUCUACAGGGAUGUCAUGCUUGAGAACUACGGCCACCUGGUGUCCGUGGGGCAUCUAGUUGGGAAGCCAGAUGUGAUCUUCAGGUUGGGACCAGGUGAAGAGUCCUGGAUGGCAGAUGGAGGGACCCCGGUACGGACCUGUGCAGGUGAGGACAGGUCAGAAAGAAAUCCUUAUUGAUUACUAUAUCUUGCAUACAGAAGAGCAUUUAGAACACAUGCGUACUUUUCAGAAGAAAUAUAUAGCUAACACCUGGAUAAUCACCACUCAGGUUGAGAACUACGACUCUACCCCUU